rnacentral:lncRNA from 1 species
UAUCAUAGCACAAAAUCAAUUAUCAUGAUUAUGUUGACAUUACUUCUUCUUGUUCUGCCACCAUUUCUGCCAUCUCUACCACCUCCGCCCAUGAUUUUUCUCUUCUUACCGGUUUUGAUAAUGUCUGUUCUAAUCAUCUUGGCCUUGUCCUGUCCACCGCAAGUAAAUAUGUCGCAAACUUGACCAAUAUAUGCCAGAUACUUGAAGCUUAGUGAUGGAGCAGAUACCAAAUGUAUGAAGUACAGAAACGCUAAGGUAAUGCUUUUAUAUCUAUCCUUGCACAUAUAGAAAAAUAUUGAGCCUAUUGCAUCUGUUCACGUCCAAAAGUGUUUUAAUUAAGGAUCUGUUCCUUGAACAAUUUUGUGGACUUCUUUAUGAUUCAUAAUAUGCUUUCUCGGUACCAUGGCUUAUGAGUUUGGAGCGUCUUUGGGAGAAUUUCAAGCUCACAAUUGUUGUAGAUGUAUGUGAUGAUCCGAUUCCUUCCUGCCAUGUGAAUGUAGUCUGAUUGGGAAAGUGGUAUCUCUGAAGCCAGUUAGUGUUGUUUCUCAGGCAACGUUUGGAGCACAGCUGCGCAGCAUGACAAAAGAAGGGGAACUCUGGAACAUAUCUGCUAUGGGGUUGAUGGUUCUUCAUUGUUCAAAAAUCUAGGUAGGGAUUCAACGAGCCGAUGUGGUUGGCAUUGAUCGCAAAUCUGGUACAUGUCAGCUUCGAAAGGUGAACCAAGUAGGAUAAGGUUGCUUGCUCCGGUUCUAAUUAGGAGGUGGUUCUUUUAUUUAAUGUUGUGAUGGAGUGCGUCCAAAAGAAUGGAUCUUCUAUGAAAAGAAUUAAAGUAAUGAUGCCUCUCUUCCCUUAGUUAAUAGUAAGGUGGUUGCAGUGUAGACCACCAGGAGCCAUGAAGGUGCUUAAUUAGAACCUCCAGGGAUUCGGCAAUCCUUGGACGGUUCGGCUCUAUACCAAAUCAUCUUAAAGAAUUAAGAUGAUUCUGAAAGAUCCUUGGGAGUUUGAUUCAUUUGAGUCUUUACGGGUGAAGUGACAGUGUCUAGACUUGGUUCUCAAAGCUAAGAAGGCCACAUAGAGACAGAGAUCUCGUUUCAUGUGUAUGCUCAAUGCUCACUUCAUCGAUUUGGAAUUACAUCCUUUUUAUAGGAGUACAUGAGAUAAGGAUUAAUACAAUCUUGAAAGACAUACAACACAGCUAUAAGAAUUAUAAAGUU